rnacentral:rRNA from 1 species
AUUGAACGCUGGCGGAAUGCUUUACACAUGCAAGUCGAACGGCAGCACGGGGGCAGCCCUGGUGGCGAGUGGCGAACGGGUGAGUAAUACAUCGGAACGUGCCCGGUCGUGGGGGAUAACGUAGCGAAAGUUACGCUAAUACCGCAUACGAUCUGAGGAUGAAAGCGGGGGACCUUCGGGCCUCGCGCGAUCGGAGCGGCCGAUGUCAGAUUAGGUAGUUGGUGGGGUAUAGGCCUACCAAGCCGACGAUCUGUAGCUGGUCUGAGAGGACGACCAGCCACACUGGGACUGAGACACGGCCCAGACUCCUACGGGAGGCAGCAGUGGGGAAUUUUGGACAAUGGGCGCAAGCCUGAUCCAGCCAUUCCGCGUGCAGGACGAAGGCCUUCGGGUUGUAAACUGCUUUUGUACGGAACGAAAAGGCUCUGGCUAAUACCUGGGGCUCAUGACGGUACCGUAAGAAUAAGCACCGGCUAACUACGUG